rnacentral:rRNA from 1 species
UACAGAGGUCUCAAGCGUUGUUCGGAUUUCAUUGGGCGUAAAGGGUGUGUAGGUGGCGCCGUAAGUCGGGGUGUGAAAUUUUCGGAGCUUAACUCCGAAACUGCAUUUCGAUACUGCGGUGCUUGAGGACUGGAGAGGAGACUGGAAUUUCAUGGUGUAGCAGUGAAAAUGCGUAGAGAUCAUGAGGAAGACCAGUGGCGA